rnacentral:rRNA from 2 species
UUUUAUGGAGAGUUUGAUCCUGGCUCAGGAUGAACGCUGGCGGCGUGCCUAAUACAUGCAAGUCGAGCGAACAGACGAGGAGCUUGCUCCUCUGACGUUAGCGGCGGACGGGUGAGUAACACGUGGAUAACCUACCUAUAAGACUGGGAUAACUUCGGGAAACCGGAGCUAAUACCGGAUAAUAUAUUGAACCGCAUGGUUCAAUAGUGAAAGACGGUUUUGCUGUCACUUAUAGAUGGAUCCGCGCCGCAUUAGCUAGUUGGUAAGGUAACGGCUUACCAAGGCAACGAUGCGUAGCCGACCUGAGAGGGUGAUCGGCCACACUGGAACUGAGACACGGUCCAGACUCCUACGGGAGGCAGCAGUAGGGAAUCUUCCG